GACAGAGGGUGCAAACGUUGUUCGGAAUUACUGGGCGUAAAGCGUGUGUAGGCGGCCAUGUAAGUCGGAUGUGAAAGCCCCGGGCUUAACCCGGGAAGUGCAUUCGAUACUGCGUGGCUUGAGUAUCGGAGAGGUUGGUGGAAUUCUCGGUGUAGAGGUGAAAUUCGUAGAUAUCGAGAGGAACACCGGUGGCGAAGGCGGCCAACUGGACGAAUACUGACGCUGAGACACGAAAGCGUGGGGAGCGAACAGG
rnacentral:rRNA from 1 species